UUUUUGAAUGAUGUCACAGGUCACACCCGUUCCCAUACCGAACACGGAAGUUAAGCUCUUCAGCGCCGAUGGUAGUCGGGGGUUUCCCCCUGUGAGAGUAGGACGCCGCCAAGC
rnacentral:rRNA from 1 species